GGUCAUCUCCUGUAUCUCCUUCCACAUUCCUUCCCGGACUGCUUCAGGGAUACGAUAGGGGGGCUGUCCUAGGGGAUUCUGUCCGGGUGUCUCAACCUUGUGUACAGCUAGGGUAGUGUAGCCGGGUUCUUGGGAGAACGUUGCCUGCUUCUCCCACAGAAGCUGUCUUGCCUGUACCUUCUCUGUGGGGCUUAACUGGUCCCCUAGCUGUACAAGACUAGUGAGGUCAGUCUGGGGAUCCUUCUCUAAUAAGUCGGGCAAGGGUAAAUUCUCUGGGUCGUCGGCAGCCGGAGCACAUACUGCUG